rnacentral:rRNA from 1 species
CAGGACGAACGCUGGCGGCGUGCUUAACACAUGCAAGUCGAACGGGAAACUUUAUUUCGGUAAAGGAUCUAGUGGCAAACGGGUGAGUAACGCGUAGGCAACCUGCCCUUAGGAUGGGGACAACGGCCCGAAAGGACCGCUAAUACCGAAUGCACUCUAACUUCCGCAUGGAAGAAAGAGGAAAGAUGGUGCAAGCCAUCGCCGAAGGAAGGGCCUGCGUCUGAUUAGCCAGUUGGUGAGGUAACGGCUCACCAAAGCGACGAUCAGUAGCCGGUCUGAGAGGAUGAACGGCCACAAUGGGACUGAGACACGGCCCAUACUCCUACGGGAGGCAGCAGUGGGGAAUCUUCCGCAAUGGGCGAAAGCCUGACGGAGCAACGCCGCGUGAGUGAAGAAGGUCUUCGGAUCGUAAAGCUCUGUUGUUGGGGACGAAAGGGAAAGGGAGGAAAUGCCCUUUAAGAC